ACAUUGAUCUAAUGCAUUUUGAUGUGCAGAAAGUUCUGCUCAAUUUAUUAUUUUACUUCAUCAUAUGAGGCUGUACUUUCUUUUAAAGGAUCUGGUGUCUCACGAAAUGGACUGGUGUUGAUGGGAGAAAGAUAUGCGUGUGUUGAGGAUGUUUAAGAAUUUGUUUUUACCUUCUGAGUGAGAUGGGGAGCAUUAAGCGAAUGCCUGAGGCUAUUUGGAGCUCAAUUCAGUCACAGGGGUUAUCUUGUAUUAUUUCACAAGGGUUGUUAAGGAGUUGGUUUUCAGCAGCCUCGAUGCUGGUGCCACCAAGAUUUUCGUGAACGCUUUCACUGGCCAUUUUCCCUUGACAUGGGCUAGACUUUUUUGACUUUGGUUGUUUCUUAAAAAUGGAAAAUUGUGCCA